AAGUCGUAACAAGGUUUCCGUAGGUGAACCUGCGGAAGGAUCAUUAACGAGUCUUGAAAGCGGGGGAAAGUCUGUUGCUGGCGUGCUUAAGUAAGCACGUAUGUGCACGGCCCCCUCGUUACUCAAUCCACUCAACCCCUGUGCACUUUAUGGGAGUUAGUAGUUGGCGGUUAGUAGUCGUAAGGCGAACACUUGUCGGCGAACACUUCAAUAUACACAAACCCAUUCUAUUGUUAUGUUGAAUGUACAGCUCCUUGUGGGCGAAAUCUAAUACAACUUUCAACAACGGAUCUCUUGGCUCUC
rnacentral:misc_RNA from 1 species